CUUAAUUUUCGGAAGAGAUCGAGCUGUUCCUGGCCUUCUCGCACAAUCUGGUUCCCCGAGCCUGCGAUCCUCGGGAAGGAGGAAGCCAGGAAUCCUGGCUAAGAUUCAACUACGCAUUCCAUUUCAACGGCCAAUCAGAUUCCUCCCUGAAACGGAUCAUCCCAGAGCCUCACGUUCCUUCCCGGGGAUCGCAGGCUCGGGGAACGAGAU